GGAGAAAGCUGUUCUCUGAGCUUGCAUCUGUGGGUUAGGGGUGUAUCAUCUAUAUUGUCUACAUGGAGACAACUUCAUGCAUUCAGGGGAAAUGGACUUGAAGAUCUGGUCCUGAUUCUGCUCUGCAAUUUGAUAGCACAAAUCCCUGGAAGACUGGGCUUCAGUUGGGCUCUACAAGGAAGAAGGGUCCACUCUGUCUGGUUUCAUUGCAGGAUCAGGGACUUACUUCCUCUCUAAGAACUGAGUUCAAGAGUUGGUAAUAACACUAGCACCUUGAAACAGUUCAGAAAGCAGAAUUUCCAGGAUCAAAGCCUAAAUUCAAUGAGAAGAGAAUUUGACUGUUGCUCUUUUUGUCUUUCUAGCUAUCUUGUCCACUGAUGAAGGAGAAACACAGAACUGUGUUCUUAAAGAAUAUUUUUGUUUUAAAAUGCACAUGUAUACACAUUUUGUGGUUUAAUGGGAUAGUGGUCAAAAUACUUCCUCUUUAACCCAGCUAAGCAGGUCUAAAAUAUCUGUCUGAAAUGGAUGUCCUAUGGGAAUGUGCCUUCAAACAGCAUCCCAAGAGUGGUUAGCAGAAACACGGGGCACUAAUUUUAAUCCCUGCAGAAAAACCUCCAUGAUCUCUGUGCAUAUAGUAUAGAAAAUCUGCACUAUUUUCAGGCUGGUGUUUUUCAGUAAAAAAGUAUGUAAAUAUA